rnacentral:sRNA from 1 species
GCCGGGCAUGAUGGCGCCUGCCUGUAAUCCCAGCUGCUCAGGAGGCUGAGGUAGGAGGAUCUCGAGUUCAAAGCCAGCCUCAG